rnacentral:snRNA from 1 species
GGAUGUGAAGGCAGUAUGGCUGUGACAUGUCAGCCCUUUGAUCAUCCAUGCUGAUGCAGCUGAUCUGGUGGGCUCAACGGGUAACCUCUUUCUCCCUCACAGCUCCAGGUGCAUCCUUCUCAAAGCUACAUGCUGGGGGGGGCACCCACCCUCAUAGAGAGGAGGGCUGUUUCUUUGGUCAAAGGUAUAUGAAUA